UCAUAAGAUGCCAGGCUCCCGAGUUGAUUUUUUUUCUUAAGAGGCUACUGCAUUAAAACAUAUGGCAGAGAGGAUUUUUUUUUUUUUACUUGGUUCUCAACAGGGAGAAAUGGGAGCCCAAGGCCCACCGGGGUUUCCAGGAAAAGCUGGUCCCAAGGCCCUGCCAGGUCCCCCUGGUCCACGUGGAGCUCCCGGCUCCCAGGGCAGAGCAGGAGACCCGGGUCCUCGAGGGCUUCCAGGGCUGCCUGGUGUUCCUGGCCCACGGGGGCUGGAUGGCAUCCCUGGAAAGCCUGGCUCAGCAGGAGAAAUGGGGGCUCCCGGAGCGGCUGGUGCUACUGGCCCACCUGGGUACCCGGUGAGUGCAGAUAUGUGGUUCCUUCAAUCAGUGCCCAACACAACCUCCUGCCUCAGCUGGUAGGACAAGGAGCAAGAUUUUGCU
rnacentral:lncRNA from 1 species